rnacentral:rRNA from 1 species
UACGUAGGGUGCGAGCGUUAAUCGGAAUUACUGGGCGUAAAGCGUGCGCAGGCGGUUUUGUAAGCCAGAUGUGAAAUCCCCGGGCUUAACCUGGGAAUGGCAUUUGGGACUGCAAGGCUCGAGUGCGGCAGAGGAGACUGGAAUUCCUGGUGUAGCAGUGAAAUGCGUAGAUAUCUGGAGGAACACCGGUGGCGAAGGCGGCAUCCUGGACCAAUUCUGACGCUGAGGAGCGAAAGCCAGGGGAGCAAACGGG